rnacentral:rRNA from 1 species
ACCUGUUCCCAUGCCGAACACAGAAGUUAAGCUUCUUAACGCCGAGAGUAGUUGGUGGGAAACUGCCUGCGAGGGUAGGCAGUCGCCGUGC